GUGCCCGUGGCUCAACGGUUAGAGCCGGCCGCUCAUAACGGUCUCGUUGCAGGGUCACGUCUUGCCGGGCCACCA
rnacentral:tRNA from 2 species